rnacentral:rRNA from 1 species
UGCGUAGGUGGCGCCGUAAGUGGGGUGUGAAAUCUCGGGGCUUAACUCCGAAACUGCAUUCCAUACUGCGGUGCUUGAGGACUGGAGAGGAGACUGGAAUUCAUGGUGUAGCAGUGAAAUGCGUAGAGAUCAUGAGGAAGACCAGUGGCGAAGGCGGGUCUCUGGACAGUUCCUGACACUGAGGCACAAGGGCCAGGGGAAGGCAAACG